GUACCCUACGGGGGGCAGCAGUGAGGAACAUUGGUCAAUGGUCGGGAGACUGAACCAGCCAAGCCGCGUGAGGGAUGAAGGUACAGAGUAUCGUAAACCUCUUUUGUCAGGGAACAAAGGCGGGGACGUGUCCCCGGAUGAGUGUACCUGAAGAAAAAGCAUCGGCUAACUCCGUGCCAGCAGCCGCGGUAAUACGGAGGAUGCGAGCGUUAUCCGGAUUUAUUGGGUUUAAAGGGAGCGUAGAUGGGUUGUUAAGUCAGUUGUGAAAGUUUACGGCUCAACCGUAAAAUUGCAAUUGAUACUGG
rnacentral:rRNA from 1 species